AGGCGAGUUUGUGUCACCAUCACAGAGGUCGUAUCUGACGGGCUGUUAAAGGAGGUGAUCCGCCAGGCCGUUUCACCCCAGGCCGCGGCCACCCUGGGCCUGAACUCUUGGCUUUGCUGCCCCAGUGCCCUUUCCUCUCUCGGGUCCUUACCCCCAGUCCAGAGGCUGGGCCCAGGUGGGUGUGCACCCAGGGUUGUUCAGGCAGCCAGGGUCCUGUGCCCACCAGCGGGCCCUGCCUGGUAGGACUUUGCGGUCUGAGUUUGACUCCUAGGGUAAGAUUUCAGCCAUUCCGCUGGGGAGGGCAGGUCCUGGGGCCGGGACGCCUUUCUGUCUCUGCUGAGCUGUGGCUGCGGUCCUGGUGCCCACAGUGCUGAACGCUACGACCCCCUGACCGGAACGUGGACGUCCGUCGCUGCCAUGAGCACCCGGAGGCGCUAUGUGCGAGUGGCCACGCUUGAUGGGAACCUGUAUGCUGUGGGCGGCUACGACAGCUCCUCACACCUGGCCACUGUGGA
rnacentral:sRNA from 1 species